AGUUCUGCUGGGAGUCGCAUCCUACCUGCUUCGGAGGUGUACUGCCUAUCCACUCCUUGUACUCACUGUGUGGUUGCUGAGGCUUGAGGCAAAACUCUGUGCUUGGGGACUGAGCUAGUGGAGGAAGGACUGUAAAAGCGAACCCGAUGGGUUCUGGGAAAGCCUUCCUCUUCUCUCCUUCUCUCCUGUGGAGUCAAACUAGAGGAGUGAGGUUGAUAUUCUUGUUACUAACCCUGCAUCUGGGAAACUGUGUCGAUAAAGCAGAUGAUGAAGAUGAUGAAGAUUUAACUAUGAACAAAACAUGGGUCUUGGCACCAAAAAUUCAUGAAGGAGAUAUCACACAAAUCCUCAACUCUUUGCUUCAAGGUUAUGAUAACAAACUUCGUCCAGAUAUAGGCGUGAGACCCACAGUGAUUGAAACAGAUGUUUAUGUAAACAGCAUUGGACCUGUGGAUCCCAUAAACAUGGAGUAUACAAUAGACAUAAUUUUUGCCCAAACCUGGUUUGACAGCCGUUUAAAGUUCAAUAGCACCAUGAAAGUACUUAUGCUCAACAGCAACAUGGUGGGGAAAAUUUGGAUUCCCGACACUUUCUUCAGGAACUCAAGAAAAUCGGAUGCACACUGGAUAACAACGCCUAAUCGCCUGCUGCGGAUUUGGAGUGAUGGAAGGGUUCUCUAUACUCUUCGAUUAACAAUUAAUGCAGAGUGCUACCUUCAACUUCAUAAUUUUCCUAUGGAUGAACAUUCCUGUCCACUGGAAUUUUCAAGCUAUGGAUACCCUAAAAAUGAAAUUGAGUACAAGUGGAAAAAGCCCUCUGUGGAAGUAGCUGAUCCUAAGUACUGGAGAUUAUAUCAGUUUGCAUUUGUAGGGUUACGAAAUUCUACUGAAAUCUCUCACACAAUCUCUGGAGAUUAUAUUAUCAUGACUAUUUUUUUUGACCUGAGCAGACGGAUGGGCUAUUUCACGAUUCAGACAUACAUUCCGUGUAUUCUAACAGUGGUUCUUUCCUGGGUGUCUUUUUGGAUCAAUAAAGAUGCAGUACCUGCUAGAACAUCCCUGGGUAUCACUACGGUUUUGACUAUGACAACCCUCAGUACAAUUGCUAGAAAAUCUUUACCUAAGGUUUCUUACGUGACAGCAAUGGAUCUCUUUGUCUCUGUGUGUUUCAUUUUUGUGUUUGCAGCACUCAUGGAAUACGGAACCUUGCAUUAUUUUACUAGCAACAAUAAAGGAAAAACCACCAGAGGCAGGAAGCUGAAAAACAAGACUUCGGCAUCUCAGAGAGAGAAGCAGUCCUAGUUCAUCUUCAAGUUCACCCAAGCCCUGUGUUGUGGAAGACAUACAGCCCAAGUUUUCCUGACUCUAAACUACUUGCUUUAUGUUACCCCAUAUUUUGACUCUUUCCUGAACUAUGACAUUUUCAAAUAUUAUUUUUAUCACUUACAAAUAUUCAUAUCCUGAAUCAUUUGGAUUUCUCAGCAGGCUUCCCCAGGUCUCCAUGCUGGAUCCACUCUCAUUCCCAUGAACAGCAUUUCUUUGCCACAAGGGGAAGAUGAUUAUGGCUACCAGUGUUUGGAGGGCAAAGACUGUACUAGCUUUUUCUGUUGCUUCGAUGACUGCAGAACUGGGUCCUGGAGGGAAGGGCGGAUACACAUACGCAUUGCAAAAAUUGACUCCUACUCCAGAAUCUUUUUCCCAACAGCUUUUGCCUUGUUCAAUCUGGUUUACUGGGUUGGGUAUCUAUACUUAUAAGUUCAGCCAAUAAAUUAAAAAUAAUCAUAAAAGUCUGGCUUAGUCCAAUAUAAUCAGUUGUAUUUCAUAACAUGAAGUUUAAAUUAAAGUGAAAGUCUACUAGUUAAAAUAUGAAUAAGAUGGUUAUGUGACUAGGGCUUUCAUAAAUGAAUAAGACAGAAUUAUUCAGGUUAAUCUAUCUAAAUAAACAUGUAAUUGAUUGUCCAAUAUAGCACAGUUAUAUCAUAAACUUAUAUUUUUACUUUAAUUUUUUUAUGUUUAUUGUAUAAAUCUAAUAUUGGACUUAAUACUUAUGUGAGAAAUAUUUUGAAUAUGAGAUAAUUUUAACACAUAUUUUAUUUAAAUAUACCUUUUGCUUAUAAUGAAAUACUACUGUCAAAUAUUAAAAUAUUCUUUGCCUAGAUUGCUCAUUAGCUUGAUUUUAUUUUUUGCUUUGUAUUUGCUCUGUUUAGGAUAUGGUUUCUUUAAAACAAAGCCAUGAUUUUCUUGGAUUUGUUCAAAGAUAUGUUAUUCCCAAGAAGAAAAUAAUGUAUUGAUUACUUUUUAAAUAAUUUUUGUGAACUGACAGUUUGUAUACAUUUAUAUAUUUAAACACUGUCAUGUCUUAUGUUUGAAGUACAAAGGAAUUAAACCAAGCUACUUGGAAACUACAGUUUUCAAAAUGGACAACUUUUAUUAGUUAUCCAAUCAAUUUUCUGCUCAAUGUUAAGCAGAAGUCAACCUUCACUUAUUUUGAGGAUUUUUAAAUUUGGAGAGGAAACACUAAAGUCAUUUUUUGUUUUUUUGUAAUGCAAGUUCAAAAAACUCAAAGUUAUAUUCUGCCUUGUAGGAUUUAUGAGGUAUAAAGAGGUUAACACAAAAAUGUUCAUAUGUACUAACAAUGAAAUCAAAUGGGAAAUGUUUUGUUUUUCCUUUAAGUGCUACAAAAGGGAUUCACAAGUUCAAAGAAUCAUUGAGUAAAAGAGCUUGAUUUAACAGGGCUUAACGAGCCAUCUGGCAAAAUAAACUCUAGGUUGUCUCAAAAUACAGACUUAAAUAUAUGCUAUUGAUAUUUUAUAGAGUAGAUAUAUUUGAAAACCAUCAAAAUUAUGUAUCUACCCAGCUGAUUUUUACAACUAUAUUAUAAUCGCCAUGUUCUCUCUUUUAGGCGUGUGAAAUUUCUCAAAACUCAUUUUACAAGUGGACUUUGUAUGAGACAACUGUAAUGAACUUGAGUAGGGACAUCACGAAAUCCAUACAGAGAGGAAAGGACUCUAGAGACUCUCACUUUAGGGAAAGCUGACAGUGUUGCCAAUGCUACAUCUGUGAGAGGAGGCUUCCACUUGGAAAUAAGCAAUAGAAAUAUUCACUGUAGGUCUGGCAAGAUGGCUCAGCACACAAGAGCAUUUUAUGCUCUUGCUGAGGACACAGGCUGAGUUAUUAUCCUCCACAGGAUAAUUUACUAAGGUCUGUAAUCAGGAAUCUAAAGCCCUUUUCUGGCCUUUGUUGAUACUGCAUGCACGUGGUUCAUACAAGCAGAGAAACACUCACAUAAAAUAAAAAUAAUAAAUCAGAGAAAGGCAUGUCCAUUUUUGACAGCAGUUGUCACAAUGAGAGGUCUUAUCAUCAAAAGUGUGUUGAUUUUGAGGAGGAGCUGUCAUGUGGGUGUUAGACACACAUACUUUUAAUUCAUGAAUUGGUGCACCUGGUGUAGCAGUCACUAGGUGAAACCUUGAUUGUAUUAUACUGUGAGAAUUAUAGUUGUCCAGAUAACUAUAACUUUCCACCUUACUCAGAAACACACAGAAUUUGAAGGACAAUAAAAUAUUGAGUUUUUUAACAAAUGGAGGUUCAAAUAAAAUUUUGACUAUGUGUAUAUUAAUUUUUAGAUAUUCCAUGCAUUUAUGUUGAAAAUAUUAAAUAUUGGUAAGAUGUUAAUGAAAUAAUCAUCAUUUAAGGGAUAAAAGAAGUAUGGACAAUCCGUUAGGGCGUAACAUGCUUCACUAUAUUUUUGUGGCUACUUCCAUAUUUGUAUUGAUGGCUUGCUCAUUGUUAAAGGUGUUAGGGAGUUUAGAGGUUUUCAAUUGUAUCUAAGCAUGCCUAUUUGUUAAAAUACUUUAAAAUGCUUGAUAUGAUUAUUUUUUUCAUUGCUGUUUUAUUACCUAGGAUUUAAAUGUUGACAAUAUUUACAAGUGAAAAUAAAAUUGUUAAAAAUAUCAUGUUCUCUACAUAUAUUCCAUAUAUAUAUAUAUAUAUCAUCAAAUAAGCAAUUUGCUUCAAAGCCAGUGGUAUUUUAUUUAAAUAUAAUUAUUAGAAGAACAGAUGUGCAAAUCUAAUUAUCUUCUAAACCUAGAAACAAAAAGAUUAUAUUUUCAUUUAGAUCUUAAGAAAUUCUCUAGAGCUUAGAGCUUAUCUUCAAGGGAGUAAAACCCAAUACUUGUUUUUAUCAUAUUUCAAAUUUAAAAUCAACUAUGUACUAUUCAGAUAAAUAUAUCCUUUUUUUCUAGAUGAGUUGAAAUAAUUUAUUAGAUUCAUUUUCCUGUACACAAAUUGAUUUGAAUACUAACAUAAACCAAAAAUAUAGUCACUAGGAAUGACAAGAAAUUGUCAAAUAGGAAGAUGUAAGAGCACAUGAGAAGGCGUUAAUUUAUGUGGACCCCGUUCCGAUUUACAAGACCAGGAUUUAAACUGAGAAGCAGAAGGUGCAUAGCAGCAUUUUAUUCUUGUAGACAAAACAGCAUAGUAACCUUUAUGUGCCCUUGAACUGCAUCCUAAGUAGUUUUCUCUAUAAGCUCCAUUUUAUCCCAGAACAUUAUUUUGAACAGUUAUGUCGCCCUCACCCAUCUGAAUGCAACACAAGAAGAUUCCAGCUUUACAUUUGCUAACAAAGCUGGGCCAUUUGGAAUGACAUUAGUAACUAAGUUGUGUUUUCUGUCAUUUUAAAGUGGCAAUGUGCAUACCAUCCUACAAUAAAAUAAACAACUGCAAUCAGGAACACAAUGCCAACUGAGUCUGCCCUUCAUCUGGCAGGAUUCUGAAGAGCUGAAUUUGUGUGUGUGUAUGUGUGUGUGUGAGAAUAUAGUUUGAAGAAAAUGGUUCCAAUUUCCAGUUUAACAAAUGCUAGACAUCUUAAUGUCUAUUGUGACACUUCAACCCCAAAACAAGUACCACCGUGAGAUAACUAUAACUGGGGCUUCCUACUUGAGAAAAUGUGGCAAGGAUAAAAAUAAGCACAGACCUUUGAGAAGUGUGUAUCAAGGUAUAGACAUACAUACAGGUUACAUAAAUCUAGAUAUAAAUGCCUAUUUCUAAUUUGUUGUUUAUUAAAUUAAUGGUUGUUAAUUUAAAUUGUAUUGACCCCACUUAAUGCUAUGUUCACACAUAAUCAAAGUAGGUCAUACUUAGUCAAAAUAUAUUUACAUUAGCUACGUUUACUGAGAGGGAAACCUUGGUGUAAAGGACUGUCCAUUCUUCAGCUGAUGCUGAACCAUUGGCAAGAAUGCAGCCUUCAAUCAAAAAGAACCAUCCACUUUCUCACUGAUCAAAGCUAUCAGGAUAUGGGAACACAUUGAAAGGAAAAAUUUCCCUUACUUACUCAAACAUACUUGCAUUUCCAGUUGAUGGCUUUUAAAAAAUUAUUCAUUAUACAUUCAAAUGACUCUGUAGUUUGGACAUCAAAAGUUGGCUAUUUUGGUUAGUUGAAGAAUUUUCCCCUUUGUCCACUGAAAUUUUAGAUAUUCUAAUAGCUAUUCUAUUAAAAAAAUCUUGAGUAGAGGGAUUUAACUCAAGUAAGAUUAAUUUAACAUAUUUUUAGAUUAACUAAAUUUCAUAUUAGUGAACAUUGCCUUUAAAUAUUUGAGUAGAAAAUGGCCAUUACUGAAAUUUCAGUGGGUUUAUGCUAUGAGCGAGCAUGGGUAUUGGGGUCAUUAAUUAAUGAAGGACUCUCUAGGACUGAAAUUGGAGAACACUUUGUUGACGAAGUUACCAGUGAUGACUAGAUAGCAUGGGACACAAGAGAAAAAGACUAGAUAUUAAAACAUAAAUAAUUAGCAAAAUUAACAAAGAGAUAUAGUGUGUUUAGGGGCCUGCAUAUGCACAUCUUAUGUUUAGUAUUUGUGUGUUUUUGAAUAGAUAGUAAGGCAAAUUCUGUCCUAUAGUUUGCUUACUGCUAUAUUUAAUCCUAUUUUAAUCUAUAUGAUCUAUCUCAUUAUGGAUGAAGGAUUAUAUCCCAAAAUACAAAUGGUAGGUGAACUACCAAAUAAUUAUUACUUUAUAAUAUAUCAUUAUUAUUAAAAAAUAUGUGUUUGUAAUCACAAUUUUGAGGAUGGGGACAGAAACAAGAAGGACCCUGAACUUCAUUGACACUAUUGAUACUAUGUUCAGUUCAGUGAACUUCAGGUUGGAUGUGAAAUCUUUUGUCAAAUGAUGAGGUGAAAACCAAUUUAGGAAACGCCUGAUUUAGACAUAUGGCUUCCACACAUACAUUAACAAGCACAUAAUCACAUAUACGCAUGGAUACAUGCAUACAUCACCUACACAUAUACAAUUCCGUCAGAAAAACAGACAAACACAUACACAAUUUACUGUACAUAAACCAUUAGUAGACUUGAUAAAACCAUAUUGUUUUACAUAUAGACAACCGCUUGUCAUAAGAAAUAAAUUAAAUUUUUUAAUAGGCAGUGAAAUUUACAAGGACUCGUUGUGCCUGUGAAUAAGAAAAAUUGUGAUAACUGGAAAACAGGACUAUGCAGAUUGUAAAGAAGAAUUUACUUCAAAGAAAGUAGUUCGUGUCUUGAUAAGUCACUGUAAUAACUGUUAUUUGCAUCCAUUAAGUGUGCACAGCCACAUCGCAUAAUAAAGUUUCAGGCUCAUGA